CAGCCUUUUCCUAAAGUUAGAUAGGAGGAUUGGCACGUGGCUUGGUUACGAGGAUGGAUCUGUAGAGAGGUAGAACAAACCACAAGGGUGACAAGGCUGUCUAUACCAAACCACAAGGUGACAAGGCUGUCUAUACCAAACCACAAGCUCUUGGACCGCCACAGAAGAUGUGGCGACUGCAGUCUGGUAACCUGGGGUGAGAUCUUUAAUGCAUCAUUUAGGGGCCUGUGUUUUGCACAACCAAAUGAGGCAGUGUUUUACCUGUAUUUCCAGCAUUAUCCAGCUGGUGUCACUUCAGUCCCAAUUUUUUUGUUUCAAUUAACCAACUCACCAAUUUAUCAAAGCAAUAAGGAUUAUUUCCCCAACAUUACAUUUUGGUCAUUUAGCAGACGCUCUUAUCCAGAGCGACUUAGUUAGUGAGUGCAUACAUUUUUUUCUCCCA